rnacentral:lncRNA from 1 species
CCGAGAAGUGUUUUUAAAUGUGUUGCGUUAUAUUGUUAGAUACAUUUCAUUUGUUUUGAAUUUCAUAUGAGUGCAGUUUAAAUUAUAUAUAUUUCUUAAAAGAUACACUAUACAAUUUAUUAUUUUAUUGGUAAGACCUCCGGGUGUGCGGCUGUUUGCAUAUUUCAUCCAUGAAACUACGUCAGUUGCUGGACUUGAAUAAAUUGGUCGCCAUCUUUGAACUAUAGUGUUUGAAUGUUAAACGUAAAACUUUGGAUCUUCGAGUUAAAGUACUGUACUGGAAAACUGUUAAGUAAUAAGCGCACAGGAAUAGUGAAAUUGAGAAGAUUUUCCUGUUUUUAAAUUUUGGACAGUUGAGAAGCAUCUUUUAGUAGACUCAUUACUGUGAAGUUGUAUCUUAGUGUAUACUGACUUUAGGUCUUUGUGCCUUGAUUGAACUGUUUACAAAUCAUCAUGGCAUCUGUUAAGGCAGAAACUCUGAAUUCUGCUAAUCACAAUUCCACAAGUCUUGCUAACAACAGUGUGGAUAACACUUUGAGUCAGAAUG